rnacentral:rRNA from 1 species
GAUGAACGCUAGCGGCAGGCUUAAUACAUGCAAGUCGAGGGGCAGCGCAGUGUAGCAAUACAUGGGCGGCGACCGGCAAACGGGUGCGGAACACGUACAGAACCUUCCUUCGAGCGGGGAAUAGCCCAGAGAAAUUUGGAUUAAUACCCCAUAGUAUAUCGGAGUGGCAUCACUUUGAUAUUAAAGAUUUAUCACUUGAAGAUGGCUGUGCGACUGAUUAGGUAGUUGGCGGGGUAACGGCCCACCAAGCCUGCGAUCAGUAACUGGUGUGAGAGCACGACCAGUCACACGGGCACUGAGACACGGGCCCGACUCCUACGGGAGGCAGCAGUAAGGAAUAUUGGUCAAUGGACGAAAGUCUGAACCAGCCAUGCCGCGUGGAGGAUGAAGGUCCUCUGGAUUGUAAACUUCUUUUAUCUGGGACGAAAAAGGAUCUUUCUAGAUCAACUGACGGUACCAGAUGAAUAAGCACCGGCUAACUCCGUGCCAGCAGCCGCCGUAACAC